GACGGACGCUGGCGGCGUGCUUAACACAUGCAAGUCGAACGGAAAGGCCCUGCUUUUGUGGGGUGCUCGAGUGGCGAACGGGUGAGUAACACGUGAGUAACCUGCCCUUGACUUUGGGAUAACUUCAGGAAACUGGGGCUAAUACCGGAUAGGAGCUCCUGCUGCAUGGUGGGGGUUGGAAAGUUUCGGCGGUUGGGGAUGGACUCGCGGCUUAUCAGCUUGUUGGUGGGGUAGUGGCUUACCAAGGCUUUGACGGGUAGCCGGCCUGAGAGGGUGACCGGCCACAUUGGGACUGAGAUACGGCCCAGACUCCUACGGGAGGCAGCAGUGGGGAAUAUUGCACAAUGGGCGGAAGCCUGAUGCAGCAACGCCGCGUGCGGGAUGACGGCCUUCGGGUUGUAAACCGCUUUCGCCUGUGACGAAGCGUGAGUGACGGUAAUGGGUAAAGAAGCACCGGCUAUCUACGUG
rnacentral:rRNA from 1 species